AAGAGAUCUAAUUGAAAAGUUCUCUUUGGAUGUUCAACCUGAUGAAGAAAGUAUCUUAAACAAGCUAUCGACAAUUAACAAGUGCUUCAGCAAAGAAACCGUGGAAGAAAUCAUUAAAUCACUCGAAGAUGAAGCCAAAUCCGAGGGAAACCAAUGGAUAGGUGCUGUCCUUAAAGGGUUAAAGCGAGCAUCUCCUACUGGGUUGACGAUAACAUUAAAAUCGAUCCGUGAAGGAAGGAGA
rnacentral:misc_RNA from 1 species